CCUACGGGAGGCAGCAGUGAGGAAUAUUGGUCAAUGGCCGGAAGGCUGAACCAGCCAAGCCGCGUGAAGGACGAAGGUGCCAAGCAUUGUAAACUUCUUUUGUCAAGGGACAAAAUCAGGCUCGCGAGCUUGACCGCGGGUACUUGAAGAAAAAGCAUCGGCUAACUCCGUGCCAGCAGCCGCGGUAUUACGGGGGAUGCGAGCGUUAUCCGGAUUUAUUGGGUUAAAGGGGUGCGUAGUCGGACUGCUAAGUCUGCGGUAAAAGCCCGGGGCUCAACCCCGGCGAGCCGUUGAAACUGGCGGUCUUGAGAGGUGGAGAGGUAUGCGGAAUGCGCAGUGUAGCGGUGAAAUGCUUAGAUAUUACGCAGAACUCCGAUUGCGAAGGCAGCAUACCGG
rnacentral:rRNA from 1 species